rnacentral:tRNA from 1 species
GCCGGGGUAGCCUAGCCUGGUGAGGGCGCCAGACUCAUAAUCUGGAGGUCGCGGGUUCGAAGCCCGCCCCCGGCA